AAAGACUUAGUCCUAACCUUACUAUUAGUUCUCGCUAGACAUAUACAUGCAAGUAUCUGCGCUCCAGUGUAAAUGCCCUUAAUCCCCAUACUACGGGUGAAAGGAGCUGGCAUCAGGCACGCCCAUCGCAGCCCAAGACGCCUUGCUUAGCCACACCCCCACGGGUACUCAGCAGUAAUUAACAUUAAGCAAUAAGUGAAAACUUGACUUAGUCAUAGCAGUACUUAGGGUUGGUAAAUCUUGUGCCAGCCACCGCGGUCACACAAGAGACCCAAAUUAAUAGUAUGCGGCGUAAAGAGUGGACCCAUGAUUAUUGCAAUAAUUAAGGUCAAAAUGUAGCUAAGCUGUCAUAAGCUUCAUUAGACACACUUAAAACCACCCUAAAGAUGUCCUUAACCUACACAGUCAAUUAAAUUCCACGAAAGCCAGGGCACAAACUGGGAUUAGAUACCCCACUAUGCCUGGCCCUAAAUCUUGAUGCUUACUUUACCUAAGUAUCCGCCCGAGAACUACGAGCAUAAACGCUUAAAACUCUAAGGACUUGGCGGUGCCCCAAACCCACCUAGAGGAGCCUGUUCUGUAAUCGACAAUCCACGAUACACCCGACCACUUCUUGCUAGAAACAGCUUACAUACCGCCGUCGCCAGCCCACCUCCCUUGAGAGCACAACAGUGGGCGUAAUCGCCCUAACCCCGCUAGUAAGACAGGUCAAGGUAUAGCCCAUGGAGUGGAAGUAAUGGGCUACAUUUUCUAACCUAGAAAACCCUAUUUUCAACGGAAGGGGACAUGAAACAACCCCCAGAAGGCGGAUUUAGCAGUAAAGUGGAAUAAUAAAGCCCACUUUAAACUGGCUCUGAGGCACGUACAUACCGCCCGUCACCCUCUUCACAAGCUCCAACUUCGUAUAAAUAAUGCACUUGCUCGCCAAAGAUGAGGUAAGUCGUAACAAGGUAAGUGUACCGGAAGGUGCACUUAGUACAC
rnacentral:ncRNA from 1 species